rnacentral:rRNA from 1 species
UACGGGGGGGGCAAGCGUUGUUCGGAAUUACUGGGCGUAAAGGGCUCGUAGGCGGCCAAUUAAGUCAGACGUGAAAUCCCUCGGCUUAACCGGGGAACUGCGUCUGAUACUGGAUGGCUUGAGAUUGGGAGAGGGAUGCGGAAUUCCAGGUGUAGCGGUGAAAUGCGUAGAUAUCUGGAGGAACACCGGUGGCGAAGGCGGCAUCCUGGACCGACACUGACGCUGAUGAGCGAAAGCCAGGGGAGCAAACGGG